AUGAACGCUGGCGGCGUGCCUAAUACAUGCAAGUCGAGCGAACAGACGAGGAGCUUGCUCCUCUGACGUUAGCGGCGGACGGGUGAGUAACACGUGGAUAACCUACCUAUAAGACUGGGAUAACUUCGGGAAACCGGAGCUAAUACCGGAUAAUAUAUUGAACCGCAUGGUUCAAUAGUGAAAGACGGUUUUGCUGUCACUUAUAGAUGGAUCCGCGCCGCAUUAGCUAGUUGGUAAGGUAACGGCUUACCAAGGCAACGAUGCGUAGUCGACCUGAGAGGGUGAUCGGCCACACUGGAACUGAGACACGGUCCAGACUCCUACGGGAGGCAGCAGAAGGGAAUCUUCCGCAAUGGGCGAAAGCCUGACGGAGCAACGCCGCGUGAGUGAUGAAGGUCUUCGGAUCGUAAAACUCUGUUAUUAGGGAAGAACAAAUGUGUAAGUAACUAUGCACGUCUUGACGGUACCUAAUCAGAAAGCCACGGCUAACUACGUG
rnacentral:rRNA from 1 species